GAUCACCAAGACUGAGGUCUGUUAGAGAUACUGGAUGUGAGAGAGAUCACCAAGACUGAGGUCUGUUAGAGAUACUGGACUCGAGGGAGAUCACCAAUAUUGAGGUCUGUUAGAGAUAGUGGACUCGAGGGAGAUCACCAAGACUGAGGUCUGUUAGAGAUACUGGACUCGAGGGAGAUCACCAAUAUUGAGGUCUGUUAGAGAUACUGGAUCUGAGAGAGAUCACCAAGACUGAGGUCUGCUACAGAUACUGGA